rnacentral:sRNA from 2 species
GGCGACUUAGCCUGCAUUAAUGCCAACUUUUAGCGCACGGCUCUCUCCCAAGAGCCAUUUCCCUGGACCGAAUACAGGAAUCGUGUUCGGUCUUUUUUU